UUUUAAAAUUAUUGUUAAGUUAUUGGAACAAUUAGUAAUAGCUUCAAUAUAAUUUACAAUGCAAAGACCGCCACUGUAUGAACGUAGUACCGCAUAUUAUUUUUUAGCGGCAAAUUUACUAGAAAAUUAUGGAUAUCAAUCACGAGAAACAAGAGAAAUUACGCGCAGAGCAAAACUUAGGAAAAGAAUUAACCCACUGGACAUAAAUGAAACCGAAUUUAAA